rnacentral:rRNA from 1 species
AUUGAACGCUGGCGGCAGGCCUAACACAUGCAAGUCGAACGGUAACAGGAAGAAUCUUGCUUCUUUGCUGACGGGUGGCGGACGGGUGAGUAAUGUCUGGGAAACUGCCUGAUGGAGGGGGAUAACUACUGGAAACGGUAGCUAAUACCGCAUAACGUCGCAAGACCAAAGAGGGGGACCUUCGGGCCUCUUGCCAUCGGAUGUGCCCAGAUGGGAUUAGCUAGUAGGUGGGGUAACGGCUCACCUAGGCGACGAUCCCUAGCUGGUCUGAGAGGAUGACCAGCCACACUGGAACUGAGACACGGUCCAGACUCCUACGGGAGGCAGCAGUGGGGAAUAUUGCACAAUGGGCGCAAGCCUGAUGCAGCCAUGCCGCGUGUAUGAAGAAGGCCUUCGGGUUGUAAAGUACUUUCAGCGGGGAGGAAGGGAGUAAAGUUAAUACCUUUGCUCAUUGACGUUACCCGCAGAAGAAGCACCGGCUAACUCCGUG